GACGAACGCUGGCGGCGUGCUUAACACAUGCAAGUCGAACGGAAAGGCCCUGCUUUUGUGGGGUGCUCGAGUGGCGAACGGGUGAGUAACACGUGAGUAACCUGCCCUUGACUUUGGGAUAACUUCAGGAAACUGGGGCUAAUACCGGAUAGGAGCUCCUGCUGCAUGGUGGGGGUUGGAAAGUUUCGGCGGUUGGGGAUGGACUCGCGGCUUAUCAGCUUGUUGGUGGGGUAGUGGCUUACCAAGGCUUUGACGGGUAGCCGGCCUGAGAGGGUGACCGGCCACAUUGGGACUGAGAUACGGCCCAGCCUCCGACGGGAGGCAGCAGUGGGGAAUAGUGCGCAAUGGGCGGAAGCCUGAGGCAGCAACGCCGCGUGCGGGAUGACGGCCUUCGGGUUGUAAACCGCUUUCGCCGGUGACGAAGCGUGAGUGACGGUAAUGGGUAAAGAAGCACCGGCUAACUACGUG
rnacentral:rRNA from 1 species